CUAGGAUUCUAUCCUUUUUUCUACUCGAGUUACUUUUCUCUAGGCUACAGGAAUCCAUAUUGAGUAAUAAGGGAGUUCCUUGUGUUCUAUGCAGAAGUUCUCUUGGAAAUUUUUUUAAGCAGUUAAAUACCAUUCUCUCUUAAUUAAACUGUUAAGCUCCUCCAUCUUGUAGUCUUGCAAGUUUCUUUAGAUCCCAUAGGAUUCCGGGAAGAACUUAGGUUCCAAUUGUGAUACUUUUGAGAAUAAAGUAUGGCCUUAUCAUUGGUAGAAUCAAUAAGGGUUUGAGAUUGGUGUCUUAUCUAUCAUUAAUGCUCCAAAGAAUUGGAAUUUAUGAAAAGGAGUUGUUGCAAUGGCAAAACAACAUAAUGACAGUGGUUAAAGGCAAGAAGGUCGAUGAAAGCUGUGGAUAUAUUAGGAGCAAGGGAUAUCCCCUUUGGUAUUCUGUGUAGAGACUAGAAAUAGCGUUGAAACAACAAAAUGACAGUGGUUGAAGGCAGGAAAGUUGAUGAAGUUGUGGGUAGAUGUGGAUAAAGGAUAACCCCAUUCUUUGUGUUGAGACCAGAAAUAGAGUUGAAUCUCUUGUGUUGAGAGUUGAGACCAGAAAUAGAGUUGAAUUUCGAGAACUUUCACAUGUUCUUGGUUUAUGUUUCUCGGAAUCCGAGCUUCUAUUAGAUAAACUAACUUGUUUCUCACGGUGAUGCAGGCAUUGCAAGGCAAGACAGUCAGCCAUUGUCAAGGAUAAAAGAGAUAAGCAGCAAAAGGACAAACGCCUUAUCUUGACGAUGGAUGAUCUUUCAAAAUCUCUACGAGAGUAUGGUGUGAAUGUCAAACAUCAAGAAUACUUUGCUGAUAGCCCGUCUGCUGGGUUAGAUCCUGCUUCAAGAGAGGAAUGAUGUAUUGC